CCUAGCGUGCCCGUCUCCCAUAGGUUUUAGCCUUCUCCUAGCAUGCCCGUCGCCCAUAGGUUUUAGCCUCCCUCCUAGCGUGCCCGUCUCCCAUGCUCGAGUCCAGCUAGUCCAGAGUGGAACUGUGCCUGUCUCACUCCAGGCUAAACUAGCAUGACACUCUCUCCCAUUGUAAAUCAAAUCAAACUUAUUUAUACGGCGCAUUUCAUACCAAAGGGCAACACAACGCGCUUCUAGGUCUACUGACUCUGUGGAAGUUCCUCUGAAAUGUGGAAGCUUGUGUCAUAACACUCUUGAAUGGCCUCUGGAGGCAUUGGCUCUUACCUGCUAGUUGACAUUUGUAAAUAAGUAGCCAGCACUAAGCUACCUUAACUUAAAUUUCAUACUUUGCUUGAUAAUGGUGAAACAUGAUUAAGCCAUGUUUUGCUUAUUGAUCAAUAAAAGAAAAAAAAACAGUAGUCAAAAGUAGAGGUGCCUGAUGAACAUAGUGGGGCAGCCAAACUGCAAAUGCAGAGUUGUGUCCUUCAUCCACAUAGUACGCACAGAAAAAAGUUGCACAUAGUAGUUUAGAUAACUGUGUCAUAAAAUAUACGCUUGUAAAAUAAAAUGAGACCUUUGUUAGAUUGUCACAAAUUAUUAUGAGGCAAAUGUUUAGACUUUUAAAUGGGACAUAAUUAACAUUUUUUUUUAUGUUUAGUAGUGAUACCUUCCCAUUUUUACAUUGUAGAUGCUUUAUAACAUUAUUAUUGACCCAAACUGCUGUGUAUGAAAUGUACCAACCCUUAAGGUGCCAUAUUAGGUAGUUGCAUGUUUCAUAUCACCACCGAAACCCAUCAAAGCCUUGCCUUUCUGUGCAUCACUAACUUUCUUUAGUCCCAUUCUCCUGGUCGUUGGGUCUUUCUAAACUGCUGUUCUUUUCGCAGUGGGGCUGUCAAGGCUUUUACUUAUUUCAGUCCCAUUUUUCCUGGUCUUUGGGUCUUUCUAAACUACUGUUUCGGGCUCUUCGCAGUGGGGCUGUCAACGCUUUUAGAGCAGCUGCUCCAACCCUAUGACACCUCCCUCCAAACCCCUCUGUCAGCUCUCUCUUACUGCUGUUGUCUGUUCAUGUUGUUAAAAUGGUUGUCCACCCGCUG
ensembl:lncRNA